UACGAAGGGUGCUAGCGUUGUUCGGAAUUACUGGGCGUAAAGAGCGCGUAGGCGGUUGUACUAGUCAGGGGUGAAAUCCCACAGCUUAACUGUGGAACUGCCUUUGAAACUGUGCAGCUGGAGUGUGUGAGGGGAUAGCGGAAUUCCUAAUGUAGAGGUGAAAUUCGUAGAUAUUAGGAGGAACACCGGUGGCGAAGGCGGCUAUCUGGCACACAACUGACGCUGAGGCGCGAAAAGCGUGGGGAUCAAACAGG
rnacentral:rRNA from 1 species